UUCUUUUGACCGGUUCCAUGAUUUCCAUAAAAGGGAACUGCAGUAUUGCAAGCGUGCGUGAGAUGUAGAAGAUAACAGUCAGGCUCCAGACCUUGACCCACAGAGCUGUGACCUUGCAUGAUGGUGACUGUGAAUGACUCCUGUGUGCCGGGAAACGGCACCGACCCCUGUGUGGCCCCCGGCUCCCCUGCUGGUCUCGCUGCUGGUCUGACAGUCUUCUUCGUGCUCCUUGUGGUCAUAGCUGCUGUGCUCCUUUACAAAUACUCCACUAAAAUCAGCACAGUGCUGCCGUUUGGACGAAGUGGAAGCCAGGAGAAGGACAGUGCUGACACCGGACAAGCCGAUCCUGAACAUCACACUGGUCUGAUCAGAGAGCAGCCCUCAGCACAGACACCCAUCUAUGAAAACCUGACCACCCUGAAAGCAGGACACGGCACGCCUGCUGCAAAACAACACAGGUUGCCGGCUGAGCCUGAGGAGGAUUUGUACCUGCAGUGUGACUCAGUGGAUGAGGGGAUAUACACCAAUGACCCAGCACUUAACUCCGUUCUCCCAGACUCCCAUGAAGAAGACGUGUACAUUGUGCCAGAAGCGUGAUGAGACGCGUGUGGCGGUCUGAUCAUUUCAGUAGCACGUCUCUGUACCUGGAGCUCUGCAGAUUGUUUUAUGGUAGACGUGAGUGUUUAUGCAAGAGUAGUUUUAUCACUGUUGCUUUUACUGACUGUAAAAAGCUUUUUCAACGUUCAGUAUGUGCAUUCGUUCUGUAUUUGGUGCAUGUUCUGUCAUCCAUCAAAUUAAGACUGCACUUACAUUGUACUAUCAUCUCUUUUUUCAGUUUUCUUUGUGAAGAAUGAAGGAUUCCCCUUAUCUUUGAAUGCUUUUAUAUAUUUCUAAUGUUCUGGACUUGUGUUGUUAAUAUUACAACAAUCAAAGCUAUUCAAUGUUUUUAUCAGAAUACGUUGUUAUAAGGCGUUGAAUUGACAGGUCUAUAUUUUCUCAUGAUGAAUCACUUAUUUAUUUCCUUUGUAGAUAUUCAUAAACAACGUAUCAGCUGUUACAUCAAGUAUGACUAGUAUAUUUUCAAGUCUUGCUCAAACAUUUGACACAUUGUGUUUUAAAUACAUCUGAAUUUAUAAUGCAAGGACGGGUGAAUGACUCUGAUAUCUGUGUUGUUUUCUCCCAAGGGCCUAAAACUUACAUUUAAAUAUUGAUCUAUGACUCCAGAUUGUCUGCAGGUGUGAGUGUGUGUAUGUGUGUGUGUGUGAUUGUCUGUCUCUCUGAGUUUGCCCUGUGACUGACUGCUGGUCUGACCUUGCCUUCCCCCACGGUGAGCCGGGACUGUCUUCAGCACCACCAGGCCCUAAAUUGGAUAAAGUCAUACAGGAGAUGGAUGGAUCAUGAAUACUGAGGAUGUCUUGAGUUACUGGAAAAAGACUAAAGAAAUAUACAAGCAGUGGCAGGAUGCAGGCGUACACUUGCUGUAAGCAAAGUGUAAUCUGGACAUCUUUGGAUUAAUUACCUUUUAAUUCACCUAAAUAUGUGUUUAGUUCAGUCAGGUCACUCAGUAUGCCUCACCAUUUAGUAUGUCCAUUUCAUUAAUUUCAGAAAAACUUGUGCUCUUUUCAAAUGUCAUCUAGUAAUUCAAAGGUUUA